rnacentral:lncRNA from 1 species
UGAGCUGCACGCAUGAGUCUUUCUUUUCUUCAAGAAAAUAUUUCAAGAAUCAUAUCUCUAAGUAAUAAUUUAUCUUGGGAAGCUAAAUUCUAAGUUAGGCGUGAAGUUAUUGCACCUUUCUGGUCCAUUACUAUCUUGAAAAUGUAGCUAGUUAGGCGUGAAGUUAUUGCACCUUUCUGGCCCAUAACUAUCUUGAAAAUGUAGCUUUCUUUUUUUUUUAAAUUUAUUUGACAUUGACAUAAAAGAAAGGCUUAUUCAGUUUCGCACCUGUUAGCAAGGAACCUGAAAAAGGAAUUCUUCUAGGGAGAACCUUUAGGUACUUGUUUAGUAACUCAUUAAGGAAAUAUUAAAGCUGUCAACAUGUUUAUUAUACUAGACAGGUGUGUGAUCAGAACUUGAGCAUAACAUUUGUUAAAUAUAUAGUAACAAGGGCCCUGGUAUUUUCAUACAAGGCAACAUAAGAAAUACCUUUCACAUCGCAUCUAAUGCUCUCUAGAGAAUUUAACAAGGUUAAUAUGUUUAAUGCACCUGGUCAACGAGUGCGUUAGGUUGGGUAUCACAUCUUAAUGUCCUUACUCAAGUCUACCUAUAAUAAUAAACUGGGGUAAUGAUAUAAAUGAUUCAUUGAACUUUUGCGCAUUGUGUAAUGUGAUUCCUAUAUUUUUAAUUUGUUUAUAAUGAUCCUUGAACUUUAGUUUCAAUUUGAAUGUGGCUCAAUGUGCAAUAUGGUUUCUAAACUUUUAAUUUGUUCAAUGUGGUUCUUGGACUUUUAGUACAUAUUCAAUGUAGCUCCUAAACUAUAUGAAAAUGUUCAAUGAAUAGUUUAGGGGCUAUAUUGAACAUAAAUUAAAAGUCCAGAUUUCACAUUGAAGAAAUCAAAAAUUCAAAGACCACAUGUUGUAUAUUGAGCCAAAGUUUAAGGACCAUUCAUGUCAUUUUCGCUAUUACUUUUUCUUCAUAAAAUGAAUAGGCUUGAGCAGACCCAUUUGUGUGGGCUCAAGCUUAGGAAGAAAAUUAAUUGCCUAGGCUUGCUUAAUUUGUGUUUUGGGCCCUUCUUGGCUAAGACAGGCCUAGGCAGGCCUAGCAUGCUAUGGGGGCCAUGAUCUGGUCUAGCUAUUUUGCUAUUUCAAUAUGUGGACAAAGUCGUCAAAGCCAGGACAUGAUCCAUGAUGUUUAAUAUAAUGCAAAAGAGAGAACCCUUACGUUUCUUUCAAUAAGCAACUGGCAUACAUUUAGCAGCAUCUUUUUUAUUGGUGACUUGCUCUUUUCAAUUUGCCUUUACCUUCACCUGCAUGCCAUGACUCUUGCUGCAUCAAGCCCUUUGAAGAAGACCUGGCAAUUUGCUAAGAUAGAGCUGGUUUUCCAGCUGUUACUUUUUCUCACCUUAACUUAACCUAUCGAAAAAGAGUAACCUCAGCAAGUUUGAAACUUAUGAUGCUCCAAGCUUCAGAGAAACAUGUCCGGUUGCCGCUGGAAUGGGAUCUACCGGAGUCGACACACAUUCAUGUUCUUUUCCAUAAGUCAACUAGGAGGACAUAAUAUCACUAAAGUUUUUUCACCAUAAUCCGUCAAGAAAUGGAGGAGUCUACAUUAAAUUCCACAAGAAAACACGAAAUUUCACCAUCCUUUUUUCGUCUACCCUCUCUAGAGGAUAAAAAGUCUUCUGGUGGCUGAGGAUCAAUUAAAGCUGCG